GAUUAGAGUGUUUAGGGUUUAAGAAACCUUUUCCUAUUCUCAAACUUUAAAUAAGGCCUUAAAAAGAGGGGAUUGCUUGAACUGUGAAUCUCGCUCUGUAACACUUUUCACUUCUAGUGGACCAUUUCUGGUAAGCAGGACUGGUGAUGCGGGUUGCUCCGAACAUUUCAGUUAAAUGUGCCAAAACUCUCACCUCAAUCCAGAUCCCACAAAGAAUAUGUUUUCAUUCAGACAGCCGGGCGGUGGCCAUGGAAGUUGGUAUCCGCAUAAGGAGUGUGUAACAACUCACCGGCCAAAUGAAAACGUUUCGAAAAUGGAUGGCGCUAAAGGUGAGUUGGAAAAAACUUAUACUGAAUAAAGGGAAAGAGUACUUGAAAAAAGUUUCCCUUUUGUAGGAGGACGUGGAGAUUCAUUAUAAAAAAUAUCUAAAGUAUAAGGUUUGAACCUUUAUGAAAUAAUCUCUAGUGCAGAUCUUGGUGGUAGUAGCAACUAUUCAAAGGAAUCACGUUUACGAAAGGUG
rnacentral:rRNA from 1 species